rnacentral:rRNA from 1 species
AGUGAACGCUGGCGGUAGGCCUAACACAUGCAAGUCGAACGGCAGCACAGUAAGUGCUUGCUCUUACGGGUGGCGCGCGGCGGACGGGUGAGGAAUACAUCGGAAUCUACUUUUUCGUGGCGGAUAACGUAGGGAAACGUCCGCUAAUACCGGAUACGACCUACGGGGGAAAGCAGGGGAUCUUCUGACCUUGCGCGAUUGUAUGAGCCGAUGUCGGAUUAGCUAGUUGGCGGGUUAAAGGCCCACCAAGGCGACGAUCCGUAUGUGGUCUGAGCGGAUGGUCACCUACACUGGAACUGAGACACGGUCCAGACACCGACGGGAGGCAACAGUGGGGAAUAUUAGACGAUGGGCGAAAGCCUGAUACAGCCAUACCGCGUGGGUGAAGAAGGCCUUCGGGUUGUAAAGCCCUUUUGUUGGGAAAGAAAAGCAGCAGGUUAAUACGCCGCUGUUCUGACGGUACCCAAAGAAUAAGCACCGGCUAACUUCGUG